ensembl:lncRNA
CGGGAAUGUUAGGCAGUGUAAUACGACUACUCAACGCGAGGGGCGAGCGGGAGCGAAAUGCAGGGAAGUGUUCCACGUAGUAAAGCAAAGAGGAAGACGAUAAAUGCACUGCUAUGGCACCGCUAUCGGUUGCUAGGGACUACGACUUGGACGAAGGGGGGGUAAAUAGACGCAACGCGAGGGGAUUCUGACCCGCGACCAGCGGAACAUACAGUAGAUCAGCAACGUCAAUCAGUAUGGUCGGACUUAUGUGUGUGCAGUUGUGUGUACGGAAACCAACGAUGUGGCUCGCGAGACGAAAUAAAACCACAGCCAAACGGAUCUCGCGGCGGAGACCCGGGAAAAGCGAUCUAAGAUUGAAAAAAAAUAAGGAACUAUUUUGACCAUGAGAUAUCAUUCAACAGCGUAAUACAGUUGGCACUGUACCCUUGCGGCAAAGCGUAUCACAGUAUCGGAUCCACAGGAAAUAUUACAUUUGCAGGUACACAUUCCAACAUAAAUCAAAGGUAGCGAAUUCGUUGAUCCGGACUAUAUCGUACCACGUUAUGACUGAACAAAUCAAAUUAACAUCAAGUUUAUAUAAACACGCUAAAUUAGUCUGCCUAGAAAAGCAGUCUCUUACUGUUUGAUGUGCUCGAUCGACAUAGCGAACGGUCGAUGGUUGGUUAUCAGCUUCCAGCUAACUGAGGAAAGUUGAGCUCCGCGUAGGGAAACUCAGUGGGCAAAGGCGAUUUGGAACUUCUCGUUCGGAACAGAGGCAGCGCGGGGGUCAGAGCAGCUGUCUCUCCAGUCCUCCGGGGUGAAACGGGAAUAAAAUCAAAAGGCGAAAAAAGGAAGCAGGGAAUGAUUGGAGCGAGAGUCUUGAGUUCGUCCAGCGAGAUUAAGACUGAAACUUGGGAAUUGGAGGGAAAAGAAAUGAAAACAACGCUGUGGUGUCUCGAUCUAUUACUAACGGAAAGUCAGGCGAAAGAGAUCGAUUCUUUGGCGCAAUCUCUUUUUAUAAAGUUAAGGUCCAUAAAUAAAUGUCACUGUCCUUGGCCAAUGGGAGCUCUCGGUGUUCUUUCGUACAUCCUCUUUUUAUGGCCAAGGGGGUCUGGAGAGCCGCAGGGCACUUGUUAUCAGCCCCUGGCAUCAUGCCCCUAUAUGUUUGUGUUUUUCCUUUGUCCUCAGUGAAGAAAAACGUGGUGAGGUUUAAUAGCACGGUAGAGGGCCCAACACCACCUUCGUUUUUUACUGGUUACUAGAAAUUUGACUUCUUGUUACCAUUAGGUGGCGCUAUGACUUGAUUCAACUUUACAUCUCUUCAGGCCCAGAGUCUCAAACAUGUGUAAAUUGGAAAGAAUCCGAUGAUGUGGAGUAGAGUUACAACGGUUUAGUUGUUCUUGGCGAAGGAUCAGCUUUGGCCACCGAUUAUCGGAUUCUUAUAAUAUUCACAGUGAAGCAUUAUCAAGGUCUUACCUCUCUGCUAAGAAAUUUCGAGAGGGAUCAGAUUAACCUUUGAGGAGCAUAGUGUAAAACAAUAUAUAUUCAUGACUAUGACUAAGGUUAAAAAUGAUCACAUCAAUGUCUACACGGUGAGAAGUUCAUGCUACAUGAGAAAUAUGGAGCAGAUUAGAUAGAGUAUGGUUGAGUUAAAACAACUUCAAUGCUCCCCACACAUAGUUUGGAAUUUAUUUCGGCAAAAUGCAAUUUUUAGAGCCUAAGGUCUCAAGAUCAUACACAUUUGAAAAGAAUCGGGUUUAAUCCCUGGGUUCGGUCUUUUACAACUCAAGAAAUCAUGACAAUAGGCCAAAAUGGCAGAUUUUCAACGAUUAAUUGCAGCGCCCCCUAUUCUUCAAAUAUUCUCAAAAAAUUAGGGUGUUUUCAGGGGUUCAAUGUUUGCAUAUGUUACAAUAUUGGUGAUGGCAGGCCAAAUCAUUUAGAAGUUAUGAGUCAUGCCAGAUUAAGCCACACCCCUUGGAAAGCUCAUUGGCCCAUAUCUUCUCAAAACAAAAGAUAUCACAACGUUUUUUUAUGGAUCAGGAUAGACCCAAUAAUGAUCCACAGACAAUAUUGUGACAUAGUGUUCAGGAGAAAUGGGCCAAAACGUGUUUUUCACAAAAUUCAAACUGGUGGAAAAUCUAGUUAGGCACAUUUGCAUACCAUGAUUGUCCAAGUGCCAAAUUUCAAGUCGAUCGGACAUCGGGGGGACUGGCCUAGUGGGGUACUUUUUAAAUUUCUAGGAGGCUCUAUUGUUAGGCUUUCUCACUGACUCAAUCGCAGACCAGGUCGCAAAAACAAAACAAUUACAUUUUUCUUUUUCAAAACAGAAUUCGCAAAAAAAUCCAAAACAGAGUUCAAAAACGGCAAAACACAGGGGAUCCAUCUUUUCUAUCAUCAGGUAUUCACACACACAAACAACACAUGUAGUUUCGGGCAUAGAUCCAUCACCAACUGAAUAACAAUCUGACAGGGGACUAGGAGGAAGAUACACCAAUAUAUAGAUUCCCAUAGAUUGAUUCCCUACCAACAACUCGUCUCUCUGCAUCUGAGUCAUCAUCCCUCGUAGCGCAGUGGUAGGCAAUCCGCCUGCUACACGGAGACCCAGGUUUCUGUGGGUGGUGGUUGCAUCUGAUGGAGGUUACAUCUGAUGGAGGUUGUCCCUGCAGUGGUCUUGCCUUAGGCCUGGUUUACUACUCUCAAUAUUAGAAUAAUUUCUGUCAUAGGAUUUGAAUGCACCGUUGUUAGGGAUUUAAGCCAGAAGUGCACCCCUAGUCAGGAAAUUAUAGUACGUG